UCCCGUGUGGCUCGCUUGGUAGAGCAUGGCACUUGCAAUGCCAGGGUUGUGGGUUCAAUUCCCAUGGGGGAA
rfam:Salmo salar isolate Sally breed double haploid chromosome ssa10, whole genome shotgun sequence.